CCCUCGGGUUUUGCUCGAGGAUGUUGGACUUGGGUGCUGCCGUGUCUUCGGCUCGCCUCAAAUGUGUCAGUGGUAAUCAGACCUUUGACAGGAGUAAUAAGUUUCUCUUGUCUGUCGGUCGUCGAUGGCUGCUACAAACCCGCCUCUUUGGCAUCUAUGACUCUGACCUCAAAUCAGGUAGGACUACCCGCUGAACUUAA
rnacentral:misc_RNA from 1 species